AGCAGAUACAUUUGCCUUUACAAGAAGUGAAGGCAGUGAGUAAAUUGAAACAUGGCUCCACAUGGAUAAGCACAGCCUAAUGCCAGCACAAAAGGCAGUGAAGCACAUCCUCUUCUGUGCUGUAUGCAUAGAGAGGGCACUCUCACCAACAUUUAUUUUCAUUUCUAGGUAGUUAGUGAAGGGUAGGGAAAAAAUCAACAGCAAUAAAUGAGUUGUUGCAACCUGCCCUUUCUGCUCCAGCAAUUUCCUGUUUUUGUAAACAGGAAACGCUGCACAACCUGGCGAGGACUCAAUGUGAUAACGCUGAAGAGUGAUCAGACAGUCAACUAUGAAACCGCGGCGGCGUCUGCUGAGGAAAACCCACAAGCUGUCAAGAAAGCUGCGGGAUGUUUUGCGACACAAUCUAUCAACUAUCCAAGCCUAUGCUGAAUAAAUAGCAGUGAACAGACCUGCAGAAGGAGCGUGUUUCCACUGGCAUUCCUUGAUAUGAGUGUUUCGUUGUUCAAAGCUUCUGAUGCUGUUCUCACUGUUCUUCUCCAAAGCUGGAUUACCUGACAAUGAUUUCUACUGCCAUGCUUUGGGUACGCCAUUACUCCUGGAAAGAAAUUCCAGGUUAUGAGGUAUAAAAUAGAAAUCCUAAUGUUGCCUGUGAUGCUGCAAAAUUCCUCUGCUUUCCUCAGAAUUUAAGACUUUUAGGAUCCAAGAUGGAUGGUGCGAAGUUUCCUUUCACCUUCACCUCCUUGUUAACUUGUGCAUGGAAACAACCUUGCUUCCAGUUCCUCUGUGAAAUUAAACAUUAAUCAACACUCCUCAGUUAACAAUUUGAAAAUUGUUUCUUAACCUUCAGUAAGGUCCAAGCUUGGGUUUAAAGCAUAAGGAAAGGGAAAGCAAAACUCAGCUCAGUUUCUGCCCAAGAUUUGUCCUCUGAUGCAGCCCUGUUUCCAAAUCUCUGAAACCCGGAUAAGUAUUAGAUCAAGAUCAAAGAAAAGGAAAACAUGAAACUGAGCUUUUCCUGGCUCUUUCCAAUGCAGAAACAUCAACAUUUCAGUGAGAUGGCAAGGCUUGAAGCACAUCUAAGACUCACUGAUCUCCUAAGGCUUGGUAAACUUCAACUCACUGAUGUUGAUAUGCUGCUCUAUGAGCUGUGAAGAGAUGUACAGUUCCUUUUCAAACCACAAACUGAUCAUAAACAAAAGUUUCACUCUUAAAAAAGGCAACUUAAGGAUACUGCCUACUGUCUCAAAUGCUGUGCAGUAGUUUCUCAAACUGCAAGUCAAGCCUUGAGAGGCUGGAAGAGGAAGGCAAAGCAGAGAAAAGGAUUAAGAGUUAUAACACAGUGGCUUAUCUAAAUUUUUAAGCAUUUAAUUAUUAGCAUGUUAAUAAUUAAAAAAAAAAAUUAGUAGAAAAAACCCAAGAAAAAUAAACAGUAAUAAUUCUGACCUUCUUUCA
rnacentral:lncRNA from 1 species